AGAGUUUGAUCAUGGCUCAGGACGAACGCUGGCGGCGUGGAUUAGGCAUGCAAGUCGAACGGUAUCAUCCUUUCGGGGGUGAGAGAGUGGCGAACUGGUGAGUAACACGUAGGUUAUCUACCCUCAAGACGGGGACAACCCAGGGAAACUUGGGCUAAUACCGGAUGUGAGCAACUUUUAGUUGUUUGAAAGGUGGCGUAAGCUGUCGCUUGGGGAUGAGCCUGCGUCCUAUUAGUUAGUUGGUGAGGUAACGGCUCACCUAGGCAAUGAUAGGUAGGCGGCCUUAACGGGUGGUCGCCCACACUGGGAUUGAGAUACGGCCCAGACUCCUACGGGAGGCAGCAGUCGAGAAUAGUCUACAAUGGUCGGAAGACUGAUAGUGCGACGCCGCGUGAACGAUGAAUCCCUUCGGGGUGUAAAGUUCUUUUAUAUGUGAGCAGUGCUUCUUAUAUUAAGAGUAUGGGGAGAGAGAUAUUAGCAUAUGAAUAAGCAACGGCUAACUCCGUGCCAGCAGCCGCGGUAACACGGGGGUUGCGAGCGUUGUCCGGAAUUACUAGGCGUAAAGGGCAGGCAGGCGGAUCCAUAAGUUUAUCGUUUAAGGCGUCGGCUUAACCGGCGUAGGGCGGUAGAUACUGUGGAUCUGGAAUGCGGUUGGGGAAGACAGAAUUCCUGGUGUAGCGGUGGAAUGCGCAGAGAUCAGGAGGAAUACCGAAGGCGAAGGCAGUCUUCCAAGCCGUUAUUGACGCUCAACUGCGAAGGUGUGGGUAUCAAACAGGAUUAGAUACCCUGGUAGUCCACACAGUAAACGAUAAUCACUGGGUGUCGGGUUCGCAUAGGAUUCGGUGCCGUAGCUAACGCGUUAAGUGAUUCGCCUGGGGAGUACGAUCGCAAGGUUGAAACUCAAAGGAAUUGACGG
rnacentral:rRNA from 1 species